CAAUCAUGAAAAGAUUCAGCGAGCAACUAGACAGCCGGCUCGUUGGUCUAGGGGUAUGAUUCUCGCUUUGGGUGCGAGAGGUCCCGGGUUCAAAUCCCGGACGAGCCCACUUUUUCAUUUUUUUUUUUCCAUUUCAACUGAAGUUCUUCUUGUUCAAAUCCUGGAUGAGCCAGCUUUUUAAAUUUCAACUAAAUUUUGUGUUACCUUGACAGUUUUGAUCCCGAAAGAUGUCCAGCGGAGGCAUCACCAAGAUUUCCGGGAGUGCUGGGGAUUGGAAAGAAUCGUGGAUAGGAGACUAAGCGAGCCGUCCCGGAAGCAACAGUUGCUGUGAAGACUUUGGGCACAGACCUGCACGUGAGAGUAUGCUCUUGAGGGUUGUGGGGGCUCUCCUUUUACAGCUAGGGAUCACUUGUCGAACGUACCCGGAGAGUAGCUGCUAGCAGACAAUAUUAUGGCGACAGAGGUAGGUGUGGGUUUCCGUAGUGUAGUGGUCAUCACGUUCGCCUAACACGCGAAAGGUCCCCGGUUC
rnacentral:tRNA from 10 species